rnacentral:tRNA from 1 species
GGGCCUGUAGCUCAGUUGGAAGAGCAUCGCAUUUGCAAUGCGAAGGUCACCAGUUCGAGCCUGGUCAGGUCCACCA